rnacentral:rRNA from 1 species
UACGUAGGGUCCGAGCGUUGUCCGGAAUUAUUGGGCGUAAAGGGCUCGUAGGCGGUUGGUCACGUCGGGAGUGAAAACUCAGGGCUCAACCCUGAGCGUGCUUCCGAUACGGGCCGACUAGAGGUAUGCAGGGGAGAACGGAAUUCCUGGUGUAGCGGUGGAAUGCGCAGAUAUCAGGAGGAACACCGGUGGCGAAGGCGGUUCUCUGGGCAUUACCUGACGCUGAGACGCGAAAGCUAGGGGAGCAAACGGG